AUGAAAUUGUAUAAGCGAUUUUUUUAUUUCCUUAGACUUAGACCGCGCAAGACAAGAAUUUUUCGCUAUUUACGAUUUCAUAUUCUUGUUACUAGAUGUUCUAUAGGAAUAAGAAGAAAUCACAACUCCUUUGCGCUACACAUAAAAUUGGGUUUCGAAGGUCCAUUUUUUCUUCAGAAUCCUCUAUUUUAGUUCUUCCACCCAUGCAAUAGAGAGGGAAUUGGAAAAGAAGGGUUACUUUUAUUUUCAUUUUUCCCUUAA
rnacentral:rRNA from 1 species